AGCGAACGCUGGCGGCAGGCCUAACACAUGCAAGUCGAACGAACUCUUCGGAGUUAGUGGCGGACGGGUGAGUAACACGUGGGAACGUGCCUUUAGGUUCGGAAUAACUCAGGGAAACUUGUGCUAAUACCGAAUGUGCCCUUCGGGGGAAAGAUUUAUCGCCUUUAGAGCGGCCCGCGUCUGAUUAGCUAGUUGGUGAGGUAAAGGCUCACCAAGGCGACGAUCAGUAGCUGGUCUGAGAGGAUGAUCAGCCACAUUGGGACUGAGACACGGCCCAAACUCCUACGGGAGGCAGCAGUGGGGAAUCUUGCGCAAUGGGCGAAAGCCUGACGCAGCCAUGCCGCGUGAAUGAUGAAGGUCUUAGGAUCGUAAAAUUCUUUCACCGGGGACGAUAAUGACGGUACCCGGAGAAGAAGCCCCGGCUAACUUCGUG
rnacentral:rRNA from 1 species